GCGGGCUUGGGUCAUGGGAUGAUCACCUGGUUUCCACCCAGGCUAAGUCGGUUCGAGUCCGGCAGCCCGCGCCA
rnacentral:tRNA from 1 species